UCCGGUUGAUCCUGCCAGAGGCCGCUGCUAUCCGGCUGGGACUAAGCCAUGCUAGUCUAGGGGCUUGUACUCCUUCGGGGGUGCAAGCACCGGCGGACGGCUCAGUAACACGUGGACAACCUGCCCUCGGGUGGGGGAUAACCCCGGGAAACUGGGGCUAAUCCCCCAUAGGUGAUGGGUGCUGGAAUGCCCCAUCUCCGAAAGCGCUUAGCGCCCGAGGAUGGGUCUGCGGCGGAUUAGGUAGUUGGUGGGGUAACGGCCCACCAAGCCUAAGAUCCGUACGGGCUGUGGGAGCAGGAGCCCGGAGAUGGACCCUGAGACAAGGGUCCAGGCCCUACGGGGCGCAGCAGGCGCGAAACCUCCGCAAUGCGGGAAACCGCGACGGGGUUAGCCGGAGUGCCCGUGCAUUGCACGGGCUGUCGGGGUGCCUAAACAGCACCCCAUAGCAAGGGCCGGGCAAGGCCGGUGGCAGCCGCCGCGGUAAGACCGGCGGCCCGAGUGGCGGCCACUCUUAUUGGGCCUAAAGCGUCCGUAGCCG
rnacentral:rRNA from 1 species